CUGGCGGCGUGCUUAACACAUGCAAGUCGAACGAUGAUCCCAGCUUGCUGGGGGAUUAGUGGCGAACGGGUGAGUAACACGUGAGUAACCUGCCCUUGACUCUGGGAUAAGCCUGGGAAACUGGGUCUAAUACCGGAUAUGACUCCUCAUCGCAUGGUGGGGGGUGGAAAGCUUUUGUGGUUUUGGAUGGACUCGCGGCCUAUCAGCUUGUUGGUGGGGUAAUGGCCUACCAAGGCGACGACGGGUAGCCGGCCUGAGAGGGUGACCGGCCACACUGGGACUGAGACACGGCCCAGACUCCUACGGGAGGCAGCAGUGGGGAAUAUUGCACAAUGGGCGCAAGCCUGAUGCAGCGACGCCGCGUGAGGGAUGACGGCCUUCGGGUUGUAAACCUCUUUCAGUAGGGAAGAAGCGAAAGUGACGGUACCUGCAGAAGAAGCGCCGGCUAACUACGUGCCAGCAGCCGCGGUAAUACGUAGGGCGCAAGCGUUAUCCGGAAUUAUUGGGCGUAAAGAGCUCGUAGGCGGUUUGUCGCGUCUGCUGUGAAAGACCGGGGCUCAACUCCGGUUCUGCAGUGGGUACGGGCAGACUAGAGUGCAGUAGGGGAGACUGGAAUUCCUGGUGUAGCGGUGAAAUGCGCAGAUAUCAGGAGGAACACCGAUGGCGAAGGCAGGUCUCUGGGCUGUAACUGACGCUGAGGAGCGAAAGCAUGGGGAGCGAACAGGAUUAGAUACCCUGGUAGUCCAUGCCGUAAACGUUGGGCACUAGGUGUGGGGGACAUUCCACGUUUUCCGCGCCGUAGCUAACGCAUUAAGUGCCCCGCCUGGGGAGUACGGCCGCAAGGCUAAAACUCAAAGGAAUUGACGGGGGCCCGCACAAGCGGCGGAGCAUGCGGAUUAAUUCGAUGCAACGCGAAGAACCUUA
rnacentral:rRNA from 1 species